rnacentral:lncRNA from 1 species
UGUGAGUUUUCUGAGAGUGUCUCAUAUCUAAAUUUUUUUUUCCUACUUUUCAUCUUUUGAAGUGUCUAAAUCAAGAAGAAGGAGGUAUCUAAUCGACCAUCGAAGAAGGAUUAGCACAGUACUAACAUACUGUGCUAAUUUUCUGGACCAGGACUUCUGAUCGUGAUUCAUGGGCUCAUGUGGAUGACUCUUAGAGGCC